CCGGUUGAUCCUGCCAGAGGUUACUGCUAUCGGGGUUCGACUAAGCCAUGCGAGUCAAAUGUUCUUCGUGAACAUGGCGAACUGCUCAGUAACACGUGGACAACUUACCCUUAGGACUGGAAUAACCCCGGGAAACUGGGGAUAAUACCGGAUAAAUCAUAGAUGCUGGAAUGCUUUAUGGUUGAAAGCUCCGGCGCCUAAGGAUAGGUCUGCGGUCUAUCAGGUAGUAGUGGGUGUAACGUACCUACUAGCCGACGACGGAUACGGGUUGUGAGAGCAAGAGCCCGGAGAUGGAUUCUGAGACACGAAUCCAGGCCCUACGGGGUGCAGCAGGCGCGAAACCUUUACAAUGUGCGAAAGCAUGAUAAGGGAACUCCGAGUGCCAGUAUCUAAUACUGGCUGUCCUUGUGCCUAAAACGCACAAGAUAGCAAGGGCCGGGUAAGACCGGUGCCAGCCGCCGCGGUAACACCGGCGGCCCGAGUGGUAGCCGCUAUUAUUGGGUCUAAAGGGUCCGUAGCCGGUUCGAUAAGUCCUCUGGGAAAUCUGGUUGCUUAACAAUCAGACUGCCAAGGGAUACUGUCGAACUUGAGACCGGGAGAGGUAAGAGGUACUUCAGGGGUAGGAGUGAAAUCUUGUAAUCCCUGGGGGACCAUC
rnacentral:rRNA from 1 species